rnacentral:rRNA from 1 species
CCUACGGGGUGCAGCAGUGGGGAAUAUUGGACAAUGGGCGAAAGCCUGAUCCAGCCAUGCCGCGUGUGUGAAGAAGGCCUUCGGGUUGUAAAGCACUUUCAGUGGGGAAGAAAGCCUUGGGGCUAAUACCCUCGAGGAAGGACAUCACCCACAGAAGAAGCACCGGCUAACUCCGUGCCAGCAGCCGCGGUAAUACGGAGGGUGCGAGCGUUAAUCGGAAUUACUGGGCGUAAAGCGCGCGUAGGCGGUCUGAUAAGCCGGUUGUGAAAGCCCCGGGCUCAACCUGGGAACGGCAUCCGGAACUGUCAGGCUAGAGUGCAGGAGAGGAAGGUAGAAUUCCCGGUGUAGCGGUGAAAUGCGUAGAGAUCGGGAGGAAUACCAGUGGCGUAGGCGGCCUUCUGGACUGACACUGACGCUGAGGUGCGAAAGCGUGGGUAGCAAACAGGAUUAGAUACCCGUGUAGUC